GACGAACGCUGCCGGCGUGCCUAAUACAUGCAAGUCGAACGCAGUGGGGACGGGUGAGUAACACGUGGGUAACCUACCAUCAGAGGGGAUAACACUUGGAAACAGGUGCUAAACCGAUACUGAUGGAUGAACCCGCGGUGCAUUAGCUAGUUGGGGAGGUAACGGCUCACCAAGGCCACGAUGCAUCGCAGACAUGCGAGGGUGAUCUGCAACAAGGGGACUGAGACACGGCCCAGACGCCCACGGGAGGCAGCAGUAGGGAAUUUUCGGCAAUGGACGAAAGUCUGACCGAGCAACGCCGAGUGAGGGAAGAAGGUUUUCGGAUCGGAAAACUCUGUUGUUAGAUAAGCGGUAUCUAACCAGAAAGCCCCGGCUAACUACGUGACAGCAGCAGCGGUAAUAC
rnacentral:rRNA from 1 species